UCUGCCUUCUGUUGUUGGCGGGGAUAAGUGUGCUACUCUUUCUAUUAAGUUUGAAACAUAAAGAACAUUCCUUGGGUCAGAAGCAGGCACAAGAAAAUCAGAACCAAAGUAUAAAAGAAUGGCAGGAGCUUCGUGAGUCACAUUUCUACUAUGCAUCCACUGAGAAGAAAAACUGGACAGAAAGCAGGAAAGACUGCAAGAGCAGAGGAGGAGAUCUGGUGAUUUUAAAUAACAUAGAGAAACAGGAGAUGAUUAGAAGAAUGAAGAUUCAUGGAGAUUCCUGGAUCGGUCUUCAAACUUCAAACGAGUGGACUGUGAAAUGGAAAUGGUAGAUGGAUCUGACCUAGUAUAUAGUUCCUGGAAGCAAGGAGUAAUCAUCAACACGGAGUCAGGGCUCAAAGCAUUUACUGAUCAACAGGGACUUUGGAUGUACAAGAAAACAGGAUUAAAAUACUGGAUCUGUGAGAAGAGAAAUGUCCAGUAUCUUUUUGAUCUUAAACCUGGAAAGAACAUCACUAAAGAUUAAGUACUAUAUACAAAUAAUAGUUAUAAUUCUAAUUAAGAAAAGCUAUCCAAAACAAGAUAAAAACAGACCUGAUGAAGAAUAUAAAACACUUAAAUACAAAUCCCAGUCUGCACUGGAACAGCUAGCUUCAAGCCUUGGACGCUCAUUUCUCUGCUGCACUGACGCUACACGCAUCAACCCAUUAUAUGUCGCUAUAGCAUUGUCACAUGGUGAAAUCUGGAGUCAGAGCAAAGCAGAGACUAUUUAUACAGUAUUUUGUAUUUUGCACUGCUCAAAUAUGCAAAGAUUGUUUAACUUCAGCUUUAAGUAAAAGUUUUAUUUGUGGUGGCUUAGUCUGCAUUUUGAAAAGAUGUUAGUUAUUAUUAGUGCUUUAAAAAAAUAAACAGAAUAUGAGCAUUAUUUUGUGUUUUAUUUAAAUAUUAAUAAUGAAAAAUACAUAAAUCAGACAUUAUUCUCAAACAAGAAAUACUCAUCUUUAUGCUUUUUACUCCAAGAACUGCUUUUUAUUUAUACUUAAUUUAUAUUUUGAUGUAAUGCCAAUUUUACUUAAAUACAGUUUUUGUCUGCACUACAUAAGCCUUAUAUUACUUGUGUAAUGUUUCAAUUUUAGUUAAAGAUUUUUUUUAAUUUGUUUUGAGCAGCAGUAAUCACUAGUGCUGUUCCAGAAACAGAACUGCUGCUAUCUUAUAUUAAUCAUAUUUGUUUCUUUCAUGUUGGAACAAACAUAAUUAAGAUAAAGGAAUAAAAACAUGGUAAUACAUUCAACCUUUUUCGGCCAUUUGCUAAUAAAUUACCGGUGUUCACAUUAUAUUCAUUGUGACUCUAAAUCAAAUCAAUUGAACUUUGAGCAAUUGUAAAUAAUGACAGGUCAAGAAAACAAAUGGAAAUUCCACGGAAAAACAAUUACUUUUAUUUAAUUGACCAGAAAAACCACUUACCACGACAUAAGUCAGAAAAUUGCUGCCAGCUCAGUGAAACCCUGAUGUAUCAAAAUUUAUUUGAACAUUUACAUUUGAGUAGCUUUUUUAUGUGAAGAACACUUUCUUAGGUACAAACAGGAACAGAAAGAUAAACACAUAUAUAUGGAAUUUUUUUCUAUCUAAAGAUUAAAUGUUUGGUAUUUGUGUGCUUAUCUUCCUGCCAGAACAUCCUGUGCACUUCCUACUGAAAUCUGAUUGGUUUCAAAAAGAGAACAAGAAUUUGUCUGCUUGGCAUGAGAAACUAAAUGCUGCUUUCAGUUGCUUCUUUCUUGAGAAAUCUUCCAACAUGUAUGAGAACAUAGAUUUUACAACUACAAGAGGCAGUGAAUUAUCUCAGGACAGUGAAGAGGAAACAGUUCAGACUCCAGAUUCCUCUACACACCUUGAUGUUGGUCUUUCACUACAAAAUGAAGGUAAGUAUAAAACAACAAAGACUAUGUCAUAAAACAGGAGCAGAGACUGAAAAACCUCCCCUGGUUGUCCAAGGAAAACCCUACAGAACUGUUUUACUAAUGUUUGAUCUGUUGGUCAUCCUGGUUGUUGUGGAUAUCGGCGUUCGAGUCAAAAUCUGUAGGAAAUCUGAUUAUGAUUAAAUUUUCCUUAAAUCGCCAUAACCUUUAAGGACAAUUUUAAUUUUGACCCAAUAGUUUCUUUCUCCAUUUUUGCUGGUUUCUUUAGAUCAUUCAGUUGUUGAGAAACCACUGCAAGUCUGUUUUGAGAAUCACACAAAGGAACAAACAGAACUGCAUAAGUUUCAAUGUCAGGACCAAAACUGCACAGAAUGGCAGGAGCUUCGUGAGU